CCUACGGGGGGCUGCAGUGGGGAAUAUUGGACAAUGGGGGGAACCCUGAUCCAGCCAUGCCGCGUGUGUGAAGAAGGCCCUCGGGUUGUAAAGCACUUUCAGUGAGGAAGAACGCCUGGUGGUUAAUACCCAUCAGGAAAGACAUCACUCACAGAAGAAGCACGGGCUAACUCCGUGCCAGCAGCCGCGGUAAUACGGAGGGUGCGAGCGUUAAUCGGAAUUACUGGGCGUAAAGCGCGCGUAGGUGGCUUGAUAAGCCGGUUGUGAAAGCCCCGGGCUCAACCUGGGAACGGCAUCCGGAACUGUCAAGCUAGAGUGCAGGAGAGGAAGGUAGAAUUCCCGGUGUAGCGGUGAAAUGCGUAGAGAUCGGGAGGAAUACCAGUGGCGAAGGCGGCCUUCUGGACUGACACUGACACUGAGGUGCGAAAGCGUGGGUAGCAAACAGGAUUAGAUACCCUGGUAGUC
rnacentral:rRNA from 1 species